GUACUCUGGACUCUAUUAAAUGUUUUUUAUGUUGGUAAUUAACAUAGUUAUUUGGUUCCUGCUGCCAGUUAUUUUUCUUGAUGAGGUUUAUUCAUCUUUAAAACAGUCAUACUAAUCUUAACAGACACUGAUUUAUAAAAAUUGGGCAUGAAUAGGAAUACAAGAGGUCCGGAGAAAGUGAAAUCAUUUUCUUAAACAGGCUUAUGGAAGCAAAGCUUUCUAGGGUCUAGAGGUACUGGAGGGAAGGAGGGAGUGUGUGAGUGUGUGUGUGUGUUGUGUGUAAGAGAGAGACAUCUUUUUCUCUUUGUUCACUUUUAAGCGCUGAUAUGUUUUCUUUUAUUUUUUUCUUGUGAGGUAUUUUUUUAUUUCUUUAAAACUGUCUUUUUCAUCCCAGGUAGAUAUUGUCAGGAAAACUUGAGGUAAGGCCAAGAAGACAGCCAUUUUACACUUAAUACCUUCUGUAAAUUUUCUUUUUCAUCUUGAUUAUAUAGCGAGUACAUUCUGUUCCUUAAAUUGUAGUUGCUAUUCAGCAUUCUAGACAAAUUCUCUUGGUCCUCUUGUUCUUGCUUUUCAGCAUUGUGCACUUAACUGGUAAUAAAAGAUGGUCCUUCAUAAGCUAGCCAGUUUCAUGUGAGGAAACAAGUAUAAAACCCUCAACUUCCACAGCUAUCUCAUUAUUAUUUUCCAUUGAAUCUAAUUAACUUAUAGUUACGAACACACUAGUCAGCUUGUGAUUUUUCUGUUUAGAAUCUUUUUUUCCGAGGGGUUCAGUAUACGCUGUGUUGAUCUUUAGAAGUAUCAUAGAGACUUAAAUUUUGACAUGCCUCAAUUAAAAGUAAAAACCGGCAUUUAGAAUCAAUUUUUUUUUUUUGUCAAGAAAAUAAUUUCUUUUGUGGUAUUAGUCAUCUUCAGGAUGCUCAUUCAUUCCUAUAUAUAGGUUGCUACCUUUGAAAUUAAAAAAAAAAAAAAACAACCUUGAGCCAAAUCUGGUCUCACCUGAAGAUAUUAUUCAAAUUUAAGGAUUAUAAUAUAUACUAAUGGCUUUUAAAAGUUUUUUAAAAACCUAUUUGGAAUAGUAUGAUUUGGUUUAAAUCUUUAGUAGUUGAAUUAGCAGUUAAAAUGAAUUCUUUUUGAGGGAUGCAUUAAGUAACAUUUCAGUGGGAAAUUUCUUAUAUUUUCAUUGGAAGAUAGUAUCUGGUUUUAACUGGGUAAGUUAUGAAGUAGAGCUGUUUCCACAAAGUAAUUAUGUUCCUUAUGUGUUUUAAAUAUUUUUUUAAAAAAAUUCACUGCCUAUAUACUUAGAUGUUCUCAUGUUUAUUUACUAAUGUAAUAGUCAUUUAAAAUUAAAUUGUUUAUUUUCAAAUUUCAGAAGUUAGUGCUCUCAAAGGGCUAAAUGAUAUUUCUGGAAGCAGGAGUCGAGUAUAAAUGUAAUAAAAUAAUCUUUUAAAAUAAAAUUCACUUCCCUACUUAAACUUGGGUUUGUGGGUGAAUUUGUUUUUCUUAAAUACACUUUUAUUGGUGAUGCUGCCAAAGAGUGGUACAUGAUUUUAAAAAUAAAAGCUAAAGCUGAAGGUAGGUUGGAUUUAGUAACUAAAUUUCUUUCUAUUCCAUUUAAGGUACUUUUAUAGUUUCUAGCAAUUAAUUAUAAUUGUUUAUAUAUAAUACAUUUCUUAACAUACUGUUCUUAAAAGCAGAUUUUUAGCCUGUUGCCUGAUUUUAAAUUUACUUUGUAUCUAGCUAACAUUUUAAUUUUGAGAAUUGCCAACUUUUGUAAAACUUCACAAAUUUUACCAUUAAGAUUUGUUUUCCAAGGAUUGGAGUAGAAUAAUAGUUCUCUCCAUUCUUGAUUAACUUUUGUUUGCUAGAUAGAUAAUUUCUUAACUGUGUAUGUAAGUUCAAACUCAUGAAAUUCAUGCUGAAUUAGAGUUGAAGAGAUUGAGUUCCACCUGUUUAAGGUUAGUGGUAGGCAAAAAACUGUUAGGAAACACGCUACAGAAUUCUCUGAUUUCCACAGAAGGUUACAUUUGGGUGUACUGUGUAGUUGUAUAGGUAGUUCAAUUUAAUAGUUAAAUAUUACUCUCCUUCAUCUUAAUUAGGUUAAUACAGCAGUGCUUAUUCUUUACAUAAUGCUAUGGAUUAUCAAGGGAAGGGUUCAAAAUGUAAACAAAAAGGUGCUGCAUAGGUGGUGUAUAUUAUGUGAGUAGGACUACUUCCAUAUGGUACUAGUAAACAUUUAUCAGAUGCUGCUGCUAUUGUGUUAUAUUUUUAAUAAAAUGAAAAUCUUAAAAUCUU
ensembl:lncRNA